AUUGAACGCUGGCGGCAUGCUUUACACAUGCAAGUCGAACGGUAACAGGCCGCAAGGUGCUGACGAGUGGCGAACGGGUGAGUAAUGCAUCGGAACGUGCCCAGUCGUGGGGGAUAACUGCUCGAAAGAGCAGCUAAUACCGCAUACGAUCUAUGGAUGAAAGCGGGGGACCGUAAGGCCUCGCGCGAUUGGAGCGGCCGAUGUCAGAUUAGGUAGUUGGUGGGGUAAAGGCUCACCAAGCCAACGAUCUGUAGCUGGUCUGAGAGGACGACCAGCCACACGGGGACUGAGACACGGCGCAGACUCCUACGGGAGGCAGCAGUGGGGAAUUUUGGACAAUGGGGGCAACCCUGAUCCAGCAAUGCCGCGUGCAGGAAGAAGGCCUUCGGGUUGUAAACUGCUUUUGUACGGAACGAAACGGUCUGGGUUAAUACCCUGGGCUAAUGACGGUACCGUAAGAAUAAGCACCGGCUAACUACGUGCCAGCAGCCGCGGUAAAAC
rnacentral:rRNA from 1 species